GCCUUCGUGGUGUAAUGGUCAGCACACUGAGCCGGUAUUUCAGAGGUCCGUGGUUCGAACCCCGGCGAAGGCA
rfam:Stegodyphus mimosarum contig41905, whole genome shotgun sequence.